UACGUAGGGACCAAGCGUUGUCCGGAAUCAUUGGGCGUAAAGCGCGUGUAGGCGGCCCGAUAAGUCCGCUGUGAAAGUCCAGGGCUCAACCCUGGGAUGCCGGUGGAUACUGUCGGGCUCGAGUCCGGAAGAGGAGUGUGGAAUUCCUGGUGUAGCGGUGAAAUGCGCAGAUAUCAGGAGGAACACCAAUGGCGAAGGCAGCACUCUGGGACGUGACUGACGCUGAGACGCGAAAGCGUGGGGAGCAAACAGG
rnacentral:rRNA from 1 species